GAUUAACGCUGGCGGCGUGCAUAACACAUGCAAGUCGAACGAUGAAACUCAUUAGAUUUCUUCGGAAUGAAAAUGAAUGGAUUAGUGGCGAACGGGUGAGUAACGCGUGAGUAACCUGCCUUACACAAGGGGAUAGCCUCUGGAAACGGAGAAUAAUACCCUAUGAAACCAGACAAUCGCAUGAUAAUCUGGUCAAAAUGUUUAGUGGUGUAAGAUGGACUUGCGUCUGAUUAGCUAGUUGGUGAGAUAAAAGCUCACCAAGGCAACGAUCAGUAGCCGGCUUGAGAGAGUGUACGGCCACAGUGGGACUGAGACACGGCCCAGACUCCUACGGGAGGCAGCAGUGGGGAAUUUUGCACAAUGGGGGAAACCCUGAUGCAGCGACGCCGCGUGAUUUAGAAGGCCUUCGGGUUGUAAAAAUCUUUUGUAUAGGAAGAAAAUGACAGUACUAUACGAAUAAGGUCCGGCUAAUUACGUG
rnacentral:rRNA from 1 species